GACGAACGCUGGCGGCGUGCUUAACACAUGCAAGUCGAACGGAAAGGCCCUGCUUUUGUGGGGUGCUCGAGUGGCGAACGGGUGAGUAACACGUGAGUAACCUGCCCUUGACUUUGGGAUAACUUCAGGAAACUGGGGCUAAUACCGGAUAGGAGCUCCUGCUGCAUGGUGGGGGUUGGAAAGUUUCGGCGGUUGGGGAUGGACUCGCGGCUUAUCAGCUUGUUGGUGGGGUAGUGGCUUACCAAGGCUUUGACGGGUAGCCGGCCUGAGAGGGUGACCGGCAACAUUGGGACUGAGAUACGGCCCAGACUCCUACGGGAGGCAGCAGUGGGGAAUAUUGCACAAUGGGCGGAAGCCUGAUGCAGCAACGCCGCGUGCGGGAUGACGGCCUUCGGGUUGUAAACCGCUUUCGCCUGUGACGAGGCGUGAGUGACGGUAAUGGGUAAAGAAGCACGGGCUAACUACGUG
rnacentral:rRNA from 1 species